GGCAGCAGCCGCGGUAACACCGGCGGCCCGAGUGGUGAUCGUGAUUAUUGGGUCUAAAGGGUCCGUAGCCGGUUUGGUCAGUCCUCCGGGAAAUCUGAUAGCUCAACUAUUAGGCUUUCGGGGGAUACUGCCAGACUUGGAACCGGGAGAGGUAAGAGGUACUACAGGGGUAGGAGUGAAAUCUUGUAAUCCCUGUGGGACCACCUGUGGCGAAGGCGUCUUACCAGAACGGGUUCGACGGUGAGGGACGAAAGCUGGGGGCACGAACCGGAUUAGAUACCCGGGUAGUCCCAGCCGUAAACGAUGCUCGCUAGGUGUCAGGCAUGGCGCGACCGUGUCUGGUGCCGCAGGGAAGCCGUGAAGCGAGCCACCUGGGAAGUACGGCCGCAAGGCUGAAACUUAAAGGAAUUGGCGGGGGAGCACAACAACGGGUGGAGCCUGCGGUUUAAUUGGACUCAACGCCGGACAACUCACCGGGGGCGACAGCAAUAUGUAGGCCAAGCUGAAGACUUUGCCUGAAUCGCUGAGGGGUGGUGCAUGG
rnacentral:rRNA from 1 species